UUUGAUGGCGACCGGCGCACGGAUGAGUAACACGUAUCCAACCUGCCGAUGACUCGGGGAUAGCCUUUCGAAAGAAAGAUUAAUACCCGAUGGCAUAGUUCUUCCGCAUGGUGGAACUAUUAAAGAAUUUCGGUCAUCGAUGGGGAUGCGUUCCAUUAGGUUGUUGGCGGGGUAACGGCCCACCAAGCCUUCGAUGGAUAGGGGUUCUGAGAGGAAGGUCCCCCACAUUGGAACUGAGACACGGUCCAAACUCCUACGGGAGGCAGCAUG
rnacentral:rRNA from 1 species